CGCCGACGAAGGACGUGACAAGCUGCGAUAAGCUACGGGGAGGAGCACAUAUCCGUCAAUCCGUAGAUUUCCGAAUGGGGGAACCCACCUAUAGUAAUGUGUAGGUAUUUUCGUAUGAAUCUAUAGUACGAAUAAAGGCAACCCGGGGAACUGAAACAUCUAAGUACCCGGAGGAAGAGAAAGAAAAAUCGAUUUCCUAAGUAGCGGCGAGCGAAAGGGAAAGAGGCCAAACCGUUAGUUUACUAACGGGGUUGUGGAUCACAGCCGUGGUAGAUACAAGUUUAGCAGAAGACAACUGGAAAGUUUGCGACACAGAGGGUAAUAUCCCCGUAUGCGAAAAAUGAGUAUCACCUAUGUGACACCAGAGUAGGACCGAACACGUGGAAUUCGGUUUGAAGCCGGGGGGCCCACCCCCCAAGCCUAAAUACUACCCAGUGACCGAUAG
rnacentral:rRNA from 1 species